rnacentral:rRNA from 1 species
AGAGUUUGAUCCUGGCUCAGAAUCAACGCUGGCGGCGUGCCUCAGACAUGCAAGUCGAACGAUUAAAGCUCUCUUCGGAGAGUGCAUAAAGUGGCGCACGGGUGAGUAACACGUAAGUAAUCUACCCUCGAGUGGGGAAUAACAGUCGGAAACGACUGCUAAUACCGCAUAACGCAGCGGCACCGCAAGGUGACAGUUGUUAAAGGAGUAAUUCGCUUGAGGAGGAGCUUGCGGCAGAUUAGCUUGUUGGUAAGGUAACGGCUUACCAAGGCUACGAUCUGUAUCCGGUCUAAGAGGACGGUCGGACACACUGACACUGAAUAACGGGUCAGACUCCUACGGGAGGCAGCAGUCGGGAAUUUUGGGCAAUGGGCGAAAGCCUGACCCAGCAACGCCGCGUGAAGGAUGAAGUAUUUCGGUAUGUAAACUUCGAAAGAAUAGGAAGAAUAAAUGACGGUACUAUUUAUAAGCUCCGGCUAACUACGUGCCAGCAGCCGCGGUAAU